AGGCUUGUAGCUCAGUGGUUAGAGCGCACCCCUGAUAAGGGUGAGGUCGGUGGUUCAAGUCCACUCAGGCCUACCA
rnacentral:tRNA from 3 species